UACGUAGGGGGCAAGCGUUGUUCGGAAUUACUGGGCGUAAAGCGCGUGUAGGCGGUCUGGCAAGUCAGAUGUGAAAGCCCCGGGCUCAACUUGGGAACUGCAUUUGAUACUGCCAAGCUAGAGUACAGAAGAGGUGACUGGAAUUCCCAGUGUAGCGGUGAAAUGCGUAGAUAUUGGGAGGAACACCAGAUGCGAAGGCGGGUCACUGGGCUGUUACUGACGCUAAAGCGCGAAAGCCAGGGGAGCGAACGGG
rnacentral:rRNA from 1 species